GCCAGACUGGCGCAGUGGUAACGCGUAUCACUUGUACUACCACGAGAUGAUAAGAUCAGCGGUUCAAUUCCGCUGUUUGGCA